UAUGUAUGGACUUAUCUAACUCUGGGGGAUAUGAUGAACAAGCUAAAGUCCCAAUAAGUCGGCGUGUUCCUUUAAAUAAAUGACAAUAGUAGGCCCGCUCAGGAGGUUAAAUGGUGGCAAUUACAAUGUUGUUGUUUUUAAAUUAGUCUCAUUCUCAGUAUAUGAAUGAAAUAAAACUCCUAAUUUUUAUUGUGUCCAACUGCUGUUUGAAAGUUGUGCUAUAUUUAUUUUGUAUUAGAUUAAUAACACAACAGGAUUAUCAUAACAACACCCCUGACUGAUAUUAUUUAAUUAUUAAAAUGUAACAAAUGUAGUCUAUAAAGAUAACGAAGGUCAUAGAUGAUCAUCAUGUUUUCUUGCAGUGUGCAUGAGACAAGGAUUCAUUCUCUUGCUAUCACAUCAAAAGUAUUUGAUAUGUACGGCUGUAAUCCGGCAAAAAUGUAAAUGCUCCCUGUAGUCGAAGCACCAUCAUAAUUCAAAUGGCAACGUCUAUGACUGUAAUGUGUGAAAGUCAUUCCUUAAAUGUUUGAUGUUUUCACGCUGGGUUAGGAAUGUUUGUUUGUGUGUUCCCAGCUUUAAAAAAAAAAUGAAACAUUACAAUAAAAACAAAUGCAACACA